CACUUGCACAUGGGUUAGUCGA
rnacentral:snRNA from 1 species